rnacentral:rRNA from 1 species
UACGUAGGGUGCGAGCGUUAAUCGGAAUUACUGGGCGUAAAGCGUGCGCAGGCGGUUUUGUAAGCCAGAUGUGAAAGCCCCGGGCUCAACCUGGGAAUGGCAUUUGGGACUGCAAGGCUGGAGUUUGGCAGAGGGGACUGGAAUUCCUGGUGUAGCAGUGAAAUGCGUAGAUAUCAGGAGGAAUACCGAUGGCGAAGGCAGGUCUCUGGGCUAUAACUGACGCUCAUGCACGAAAGCGUGGGGAGCAAACAGG